UCCCCUAUAGCAGACAGGUUGUGGGCACUAAUCUUUUAAAUUAGGAGGUCUGGUUCAAUUCCAGAUGGGGGAA
rnacentral:tRNA from 1 species